rnacentral:misc_RNA from 1 species
GGAAGAACCUGUUAAGAAAGAGGUAAUAUUAUAAACGUAUUUAUUCACUUGAAAUUGCAGUUGAUAGGUUUGACGAUUGAUAACAAUUCAGUAAAUACCACAGCUAUUACUAAAUUUUUAUUGCUUUGUGUUUGGAUAAGAAGUGUGGGACCCUUCGAGCACUGGGUCACUCUUUUCAAAUGAAUCUCAUAACAUUCAUAAAUCUAAUCUUCUUCAAUCUAAGCAAUUAAAAGAAAUGAGCCAACUUUAAUUUAAAUAAUGUAAAACUAAAACCAUGUCCAAACUCUCAUUUGAAAUUCUUCCUGCCAAUUUAGAAAUAAAGAAUUUGUUAUUGCAAAUAUUCUCACUAAAGAUCAGUUAUAUAUGUUUUUUUUUUUUCUCUUAC